UUUUGAUCUUCAAGUAGUGAUUUUUAUUCAGUUACUAAAACAAAUCAGUAUUGAUACUGCCCAUGAAAUCCAUAAUAUAAUUGCUCCUAAGUAAGUAGGUUUAGAGCAGAGAUUAUGGGAGUCAAAUUGGCAAAGAAUGAGAAGACCUGCCAUCUUAUUUAAAUACAAUGUGCAUAACAACAGUAGCUCCAUUCAGAUUCACGGGAAAGGAGCAAUAACUCAUAGCUGUCUAAGUUGAAUAGUUUUUAUGUAGACAAUCUAAAUGAAAGAAAAUUCUCAUUGCUCUAUCUAGGACAAACAGAUAGUGGGAGAAGUUGAGGUCGGGAAGCUACAUGCUCUACAUGAGUCACAAAUUAACUGGUCUGAUUUUAUUGUUAUUGUAUUUCAUUUGUGACAAUAAUUACUUUUGCUUUGCCUUACAAGUGUCUCUGACUUUCUCAAAAUGUUCCCAAACAGACACUAAGCUGCUUGGUAGCACAAUAAGUUGUGACUUCAUCUUUUAUUUGCACUGUGAAAAUAUGCCUAUAGCAAGACACAUGCUAAAGAAAUAUUGGCUGAAAACAUAAAUGAAUUGCAAGUAGAAAUAUUUUUCUACCAAGGUGUCAUGGGGAGCAUGGGAUUUAUGGUUUUAAAAAAGGGGAAAGCCUGAGGAAGAUUAAGCAUAGUGAUUGGAAUGAUUUC
rnacentral:lncRNA from 1 species